rnacentral:rRNA from 1 species
GGAGCCUACGGGGCGCAGCAGUGGGGAAUAUUGGGCAAUGGGCGCAAGCCUGACCCAGCAACGCCGCGUGAAGGAAGAAGGCUUUCGGGUUGUAAACUUCUUUUCUCAGGGACGAAUAGAUGACGGUACCUGAGGAAUAAGCCACGGCUAACUACGUGCCAGCAGCCGCGGGAAUACGUAGGUGGCAAGCGUUAUCCGGAUUUACUGGGUGUAAAGGGCGUGUAGGCGGGGGAGCAAGUCAGGUGGGAAAACCACGGGCUCAACCUGUGGCGUGCAUUUGCGACUGUGUUUGUUGAGUACAGGGG